CCUCAGAAGCAGUCUCAGAUCCUGACGGUGCAGCAGCCCGCAGCCUCAGCCAGGGAGUCCCAGCCGCUUUCAAUGGAGGAGAAGCCCGGCCAGCCACAGCCUCAACACCAUCACAGCCACCACCACCCGCAUCAUCACCCCCAGCAGCAGCAGCAGCAGCAGCAGCAAUCGCACCACCACCACCAUUAUUAUUUCUACAACCACAGCCACAACCACCACCACCACCAUCACCACCAGCAGCCUCACCAAUACCUGCAGCAUGGAGCCGAGGGCAGCCCCAAGGCCCAGCCAAAGCCGCUGAAACAUGAGCAGAAACACACCCUCCAGCAGCACCAGGAAACGCCGAAGAAGAAAACAGGCUAUGGUGAACUAAAUGGUAAUGCUGGAGAAAGAGAAAUAUCUUUAAAGAGUCUGGGUUCUGAUGAAGCUACCAACCCUAUUUCCAGGGUCCUCAAUGGCAACCAGCAAGUUGUAGACCCUAGCCUGAAGCAGACUGUAAAGGCCAGCACCUUUGGGAAAGCAGGAAUUAAAACCAAGAAUUUCAUUCAGAAAAACAGUAUGGACAAAAAGAAUGGGAAGUCUUAUGAAAACAAAUCUGGAGAGAACCAGUCUGUAGAUAAAACCGAUACUGUAGCAAUUCCAAAUGGUGUUGUAACAAAUAAUUCAGGCUAUAUUGCUAAUGGUUAUAUGGGCAAAGGAGCAGAUAAUGAUGGUAGUGGAUCGGAGAGCGGAUAUACCACUCCUAAGAAAAGAAAAGCUAGGCGCAAUAGUGCCAAGGGUUGUGAAAACCUUAAUUUAGUGCAGGAAAAAAUAAUGCAACAAGAGACCAGUGUCCCAACCUUAAAACAGGGACUUGAAACUUUCAAGCCUGACUAUAGUGAACAAAAGGGAAACCGAGUAGAUGGUUCCAAGCCUGUUUGGAAAUAUGAAACUGGGCCUGGAGGAACAAGUCGAGGAAAACCUGCUGUGGGUGAUAUGCUUCGGAAAAGCUCAGAUAUAAAACCUGGUGUGAGCAGCAAAAAGUUUGAUGAUCGGCCCAAAGGAAAGCAUGCCUCGGCUGUUGCCUCCAAAGAGGACUCGUGGACCCUAUUUAAACCACCCCCAGUUUUUCCGGUGGACAAUAGCAGUGCUAAAAUCGUUCCUAAAAUAAGUUAUGCAAGCAAAGUUAAGGAAAACCUCAACAAAACUAUACAGAACUCUGUGUCACCAUCUUCGUCCUCAUCCUCUUCAUCAUCUACUGGAGAAACUCAGACACAAUCUUCAAGUCGGUUAUCCCAGGUUCCUAUGUCAGCACUGAAAUCUGUUACUUCUGCCAGCUUUUCUAACGGGCCUGUCUUAGCGGGGACUGAUGCAAGUGUGUAUCCUCCAGGGGGUCAGCCACUGCUAACUACUGCUGCUAAUACGUUAACACCCAUCUCUUCUGGGACUGAUUCAGUUCUCCAGGACAUGAGUCUAACUUCAGCAGCUGUUGAACAAAUAAAGUCUAGCCUUUUUAUUUAUCCUUCAAAUAUGCAAACUGUGCUUUUAAGCACAGCACAAGUGGAUCUGCCCUCUCAGACUGAUCAGCAAAACCUGGGGGAUAUCUUCCAGAAUCAGUGGGGUUUAUCAUUUAUAAAUGAGCCCAGUGCUGGCCCUGAGACUGUUAUGGGGAAGUCAUCAGAUCAUAAAGUGGUGGAGGUGACAUUUCAAGGAGAAUAUCCUGCCACUUUGGUUUCACAGGGUGCUGAAAUAAUCCCCUCAGGAACUGAGCAUCCUGUGUUUCCCAAGGCUUAUGAGCUGGAGAAACGGACUAGUCCUCAAGUUCUGAGUAGCAUUCUAAAAUCUGGGACUACUAAUGAGAGUGGAGCCUUAUCCUUGGAACCCAGUCAUAUAGGUGACCUGCAAAAAGCAGACACCAGUAGUCAAGGUGCUUUAGUGUUUCUCUCAAAGGACUACGAGAUAGAAAAUCAAAAUCCUCUGGCCUCUCCUACGAACACUUUGUUGGGCUCCGCCAAAGAACAGAGAUACCAGAGAGGCCUAGAAAGGAAUGAUAGCUGGGGUUCUUUUGACCUGAGGGCUGCUAUUGUAUAUCACACUAAAGAAAUGGAAUCUAUUUGGAAUUUGCAGAAGCAAGAGGCAGUGGUUAAUUUCCUGUCACCAUGAGGGAGACCUGGACUGAGUUCCCGGCUUCUGGCUCAACCCUGGCUAUUAGGAGUAUUUCGGGAUUGAACCAGCAGAUGGGAACUCUUACUCUCUUUUUCUGUUUUUGUGCCCUUCAAAUCCCAAAAGGAUAAUCACUUACAAUGAAGCCAUGGAUAGUCCAGAUCAAUGAAGGACCUGACUGCCUAAUUGUAACCUUUCUGCAGCAUUAGAGCCACCGUUCAUGGGGGACACAAGGCUUUUAUGCUCCUAGAUCUUCAACGCAGCAGAGGAACCAUAAGUAGAAUCACAGGAUAAUAUAUACAAAUAUAUAUAUAUACAUAUAUAUAUAUAUAGUUAUUUAAAAAAGGCAACUGAAAGUAAUUAGACUUCUUAAGGAAUCAAAUUUAUUUCAAGAGACUUCACAUGGUUAUUUAAUCUCCGGUACUGAAUAGUUCUGUUUUUUUUUUUGUUUUUUUUUUUUUUUUCUUUGUUAGUUUUUGUUUUUAAGUGUGAAUGCAAGUGAUUAAUGAAUACAGACUAAACAAGCGUGGUUCUGAAGUUCCUGCUGUCAUCAACUUGGGCAACAAAUGACCCACUGGAAAGGCAAAUCCACUUAAGAUCUUUGUAUGUUGUUCUGUGACUAAAGUGAUACACUAAUCACGGGGAACCCAGAAUGAUUCAACAUUUUCCCCUACUCCUCCCUUGAUCUUUUGCUUUUACUUUAAGCCCUGCAAGAAUGCUGGAUAAAUGCCUUGAAGUUUGCAGGGUUUUUUGGGGUUUGUUUGUUUUUGUUUUUAGCAGAUACGAUUUGCAUGUCUUGCCAGGAAUUAAGCAGCCUCUGUGGGGUGUUGGGGGGGAAAUAUUUUCUUUCUUUUUUAUUUUUUUUUAUUUUUAUUUUUCUUAUGGGGUGGGAAAAAGGGAGGGCAUUAAAGUUCUACAGUUCUGGAAUAGUUGGUGGGUACAUAGUUAACUUGGCUUGAUUACAUGUUGGACUUACAACAACUGAGGAAUCCAUGAUUGUCAUUUAUAGAAAAGUUGCAGAACAAGCAAUUGGCUUAGAUACGGAAAAAAACAAUUCCUUUGUCCAAAUUUAAUGUAAUUGUAUAACUGGGAGCAAAAAUAUAUUCUGCUUUUCAACUGUAGGUGCUCCAGACUUGCUCUCUGUCACUAACACUAAAUGUGCUGUUUUCCUUGUUUUUCAUCAGACAUACAAGAGAAACUUCUGUAUCUUUCUGUAAAUUCUUUUAAUUUCUCAGCAAAGUCUAAAGGGGGGAGGAAGCCCAUGAAAACUAAAACUUCAUGUUUUUAGCGAGUGAGGAGGUGAUAGAACCCUGCCUGUAGAUGGUGUACAAACUAAGCUUAUUAGCUUCUAAUUAUAUCUUAAUAAAUAUAUUUUAUUACUAGAGCAAAAUGGGUUUUUUUAAGGAAAAUAAUGUGAAAUUCUCGAAAUUAUCUUUUGGGCAGAGAAGAGCAUUAGCCCUGUCUUACCAUCACAUUGCCAUCCUGUUGCACUGCAGCUUGUGUAUAGCAUGCUAAAAAAAGUGUGUGUGUGCAGAAACUAAGGGUCCAAUUUAAGAUUGGGUGAUGUUAGUGGCAUAAUAGCAAGUUCUCUGGCCUGACAGCAUCACAUCACACACACAGAGAAAUUAGUAUAUCCAUGUAUGUCAAAUACAGAGUAAAGUAGCAGGGCAUUUAUUUAAAGAGUUAUUGUCUUCUAAUUAAAGUAGACUGGAUCCCCUGGGAGUAUUUGGGGGAGAAAGUAACUACUUUUGCUCUACCCCUUUGCUAAAGAAAUGUCCAGUUGUGAGUGACUGUAGUAUGGAUGGGUUUUCUUGUUCUGUUGAUUAUUUGAGACUUCUAACAAGUAGUUCAUGAAAGAAGCUGUUGGACUCAAUAUAGAAUAGAGAAAAUAUCUUUAGUCUGGAUUUCUGCCCUGCUUAGAUUUUUUUUUUUAAGAGUAUAAGCAUGGAUUGCCAAUUCCACUUGAUGUAAACAAAACUUUUUAUACAUAAUAUAUAUAUAUAAUAACUUAUUGUAUCAGUCCAGGUUCAGAAACUUGUGGUAGGCCAGUUCCAGAUAGUUUCAUUUCACCUGUAAACUGUAUCACUUUUACUGAUAAUUGUAAUUUUCAAAUGUAUAAUAUGUUUACAGAUGUGCCCUGCAUUUAGUCUGCCUUGUUCUUUUGAUUUUUGUUGAGUCUCCUGCCUGCUUGCCAAAAGCUAGGAUGCUUCAGGCCCGUGUACAAUUGAAAGCAGAGGCAUCCUUGAGCUUUAAAGCAUUGAACAAACUGGAAAAUGCAACAUACCACAUACUGAAGUGAAAAGUCUGUGUUUGUGUUUUUAAAUAAAAAUUUUUAAAAAGUUUUAAAAAAAUAUAAGGUUGAUUAAAGAAAAAAAAAAAGGCUCCAGUUUGUUUUACAGGUUUUAAAGUUCUGCUGUGUGUUCAAUUGCCUUGUGUAACCACUUGUCGCCUUAGGGCCAGAUUCCCAACCUCCACCUCCUUUUUUAAAAUGUCCAUUUUGCUUGCCUGGAAUCUUAAGGUUCUUGUGUCUCACAACUCACAUGAAACUUUCUGGGUUUGUGACAUAACAGAGAUUGAAUGACUAUAUAUUUAAAAAAAAAAAUCCAGCCCGCAUCUGAAUUGGGCUUUUUAACUUAGAAGCAACACUUAAAUACCUUUAAAGCUGUCUUUUCAAAUUCCCUUCCAUAUCCAUAUCCCUCAGGCCUCCAUGUUCAGAGAAGCCAAAAAGAGAAUGUAUCCCUUCUCUCUUUGUCCAAAGGUUUUGAGAGUCUCACUUCCAAAUGAAACAAUGCAACAUUUCACUUUGAUUUCUCCACUGAAAUUUCCUUGAUUAUAUGGUUAGAGGUAUGCAGUAGUUAGGAAUGUCUGUUAACUUUCUGGGAACCCUACUUGCCCCGUCAUAUUAAGUGUCAGUAUUUUCUGGGCAUUGGGUUAAUGGACUUAAUUGCCUAGGUUCAAGCAGGACUUUGGGACAAAUCUCCGUUGUGCUGUUUGGUAACACUUUUAACUCUACUUGUCGCAAUCUUUCUCCUUAGGUCCUCACACAAUUCCUUACAGAGCACUUAUUAAAAAAUCUUAAGAGUUGAUCUGUUUUCUGAUUAUUUUUGUGUAAGCUUCUAAACAAACUUCAGCUGUGAUUAAUUUAGCACAUUUAAAUAACAUUGAUGUGUUACUGUUUGGUAUAAUGAAUUUUCCUUCAACUCAGAGUAUUAGUACUGUAGCAUAAACCAAAUACAGUCUAGAGGGAAUAUUUAGCAUCCCUCCAUUAUAAAGACUGAAAAAGGAGUGUGUGUGUAUGUAUGUAUGUAUAUGUGUGUUGAGUGCUUGUAUGUGAGGGAAAGAUGGAGAUGUUAAAAAUUAGUAAAUGAAUAUGUGUAAGAUGUUAUAUUAGUAUUCAGAGAAUGAAACUUGUAUUUAUUUUGUGCCAUUGGUUUUCAUUACACAGAAUAAAGUCAGGUGGUUUAAAUUCUUAAAAGGAUAGUAUUUGAAAAAUGGCACUAAGAAUGAAAUCAUGACCUAUUUUUUUAAUAGCUAUGAAGAUGCUAAUUAUUGAUGAAGAUUUGUUUUUAAAUUUGUCUUGAUUGUAGGCGUCUGUGUCACAUACCACUCGUGUAGAUGUCUUGAAUAAUCUCCCUUCCCCACAAAAGACAGGGUGUAUUUAUCUUUUUAUUCACUCCCACUUUGCUGAUCUGAAGUUAAUUGCAUAGUCUUUCCUGUAACCUCCUUAGUAAUGAACCUGCACAUGAAGUGUAUUUACAGAAACUGUAGUAGCCCUUCUUCCUCUACUUUCUAGGAGGGGAUCGCCAGUAACUAGAUACUAUGUUAAUGACAGCUUUUUUUUCUUCUUGAAAUAAAUGGCUGGAGUUUGUCUCCAUUUUAGAAUUUUGCUGUCCUCUUUAAUUAAUCUGCUUACAUAAUCAUUACUCAGAACCUGCAAAAAUUAUAUACAGGAAGAAAAGUGCUACAUUGUUUUUUCAAAUAACAGUUUUUAGUGGAAAUAUGACAAACCUCAACUAUGGAAAUUGUCCAUAAUACAAAAUGUGUUUCUUCACAAAAUAUUAUAUAGCAGUGGUAGUUUCAUACUUGGUUGUUAGGCUUGUUGCUAACCCACAUCAGAAGCAUCUAAUGGUUUAUCUUUUGUAAUGCUGUAAACUUAGAAACACAAAAAAGCCAUUUAGUGUGAAAUUGUCCUGUACCAAAUGACCACAGGCAAGGAAAUCAGAAGAGGACUUCACUCAAUUUUAAAUUCCACUGAAUAAGAAAGGAGUCACUUUUGAAAAGCUUUCUAAAGAGAAACAGGAUAAAAGUCCAAUUGCAAAGAGUUGUGGAUAUGGUUAUGGCAAAUGGGCCAUGUCCUCAAAUAAAGGAUGAUCCCUCUUGUAUGCUUUGGCUGACUGCACAGAACAAAAAUACAGUAUAGGGGGCAGAUACAUAGAUGAUCAACAGUAGUUUUUAUGAUCAGGUCUAUUGAUGUUCUGUCAGUAAAGAAUCCCAAUUGUAAUAGGGCAGUCCUACCCAUACAUAACUUUGCUGUUUUUGAAGGAAAGAGGGUAGGAUUUGUUUAUCUCCCUUCCUCCCGGUUAACUUGUUAAAAAGGCAUGGGUAGAGGACCAGACUAGAAAUGUGAAUAGCUUCUCUUAAGUUUGCCAGAAGCACAGGUUAGAAUUAGUUCUUAACAUUGAUAUUUUUAUUAAUGUAAUUGGUUGACAGAGCACCAGUAUUUUAUGGUGAAAAUGAUGGACUUGUGCUUUGGGUAUCUUAAAAUAUAUAUUUUUUAAGAUCUAUUCUGAUAUGUGAGAACCAGGAACACCCCGGGUUGGUUUAAAGAAUGGUAAAUCAUCGGCUCCACUCAAAAACACUGCUUUACAGGGUUUUAAAUUAAAUUUCACACCAUUUUGCUGCUCAAGAAAGGUCUUAAGUAGUUAAAGGAUGCUGGCAAUAGUAUGAAUAUAGUUGUCUGUAUAACACCCAGGAUGGUGUAUUGUUUUUACAUUGCUGGGAGUGUCAAUAGCAAUUAAAGGCUAGAAACUAUGGAACAGCCAUCCUCAAAGGUGUUGGGAUUAUUGAUUCAGGCUUCACUAUUCAUAGUUUUGUUAUGUCCAGAGUUCUAAAGCCAUUUUAUAAUACUGCAGUAUCCUUUUUCUAUAGCCUUACUAAAAUUACAAACUACAUUAUUAAAGUUAAGAACAUUUUCCAGUUCAGUUUCACUUCUGCUGUAUAUAAAAGUGUACUCUGCAGACCCACAAACCAACUUGAGGUGAUUUGUAUAGCUUUCCGUACAACCUUUUUUCCUCAGGUGCUAAUAAAUAAAGGCUCCAAAAAUGGAUACUGCUCUAGUAACAUUUGCUUUGUUAAAUGCAUAUUUCUUUUGGUAGAUGUAAAGAUUUGGUAUUAACAAGAUGGUUUUAAUAUGUAAAUAUGAAUGAAUGCCUUUAGUUUUCCUGUUUGUCUAUUAGUGUUUUCAUUUAUGCUUUAUAGAGAGGAGGAUCCUUUCAUGAUCUCAAGUACAUUUCAUUAGGUAUGGUUGUGUUUUUAGAUUGAAAAUGCAACUGUUUUCUGUCUUAGAUUAAUUCUGCUGCUAUGAGAAACUGAAAAUCAAGAAUGUGAUGCACUUUUUACAUUUCUAUAUACCAUACAUAUACAUAUACCAUAGGUUGCUUUGACACCUUUCCUAUAGCACAGCCACUAACAAAGAUGAAUGAAUUAUAUAAUUCUCUUUGGGAGGAAAUCAGUACAGAUAACUAAUCCAUAGUUGGUAUUGGCCAGUGAAGGACAGACAGUAAAUUUAAAGAAAUAAAAAUACUAUUAACAUUUCACUUUUUGGCCUUAAAAUGUUCUACUACUGAAAAUAUUUUAAGUCUAAGCUUUGUCUAUUACUCCAUCUCUGCCUCAGAAAGAGGAAUUGGGUAGAAUGACUUAAAAGGAAGUGUCAUUGGUUUGUUGCUGAUCUUUUAGGAAGAAAACAGUUGCCUACUGUAUAAGCUGGGGACUUCCUUUUUGUAUACAGAGGAGAAAUAAUGCUGUCCUGAUCCAGUCAGACUUAGUUUAAUCAAAUUCAUCACAACUCCCAACUAAUUCUGCUUCUCUAGUAUAUUUUUCUUAGCAAAGAUAAGUAGAGUAGGAGUGCUGCCUGACGAGGAAAAGUCAUUUCUCAAGCACAUACUCAAAUUUGAAGGAGAUGGAACCCAAAAUAAUGGGGGGGAACACCAAAUGAGUUGGAGGAAUAAGAGGAAGAGUGUGGUCCAAAGUUAUCUGGUUAUAUUUUGAUGUUGCCAAUAUUGUAAAGCCAAAAUUUUAAUUUGCUUAUUUAAUAUAUUUGUUGGCCAGAGAUCUAUUUUUAUAUCAAUGUGCCUUGCAUGUAUAUUAAAAUUUUUUGGAAAGGCCAUGUAGUAAUGCCUGAGAUAGUUGAUGGUUCUUACCACUCACUGACCUUUAUGCAGUAUGAAAUGCUCAUUCUAUUGCCCAACUGGUGCUCUCUGUUUAAAGUUAUAGACCUUGUCAAACUGGAACUGUUUUAUAAACUGGGGAAGUGAAUUUUUUUGUUGUUUCUUUUUGUUUUUAGUCUGUUAGUGGCUGUUCUGUAGUGGGAAAUAGUAAAAGGAUUUUUUGCUCUCUUUCCUUCCCCCCUCAGCACCUUCAAGUAAUGUGAUGACACCAUUUCUUGUGUGCUUUGAAAAAGGUAUCAGCUUGCUGUCUCCUUUAGUGUUAUUUAAAAAAAAAAAAAAGAAAAAAAGGAAAAAAAAAAGUGUUAUAAGAAGCAUUGUUUGCAAAAUCUAGGGAGAUAAUGAAGUCCACUCUAAUCUGGAAUUCUGUAUGAGCUAUGAACCAAGUUACCGGCUUUCCAACUUUAAAUUUUUUAUUGUUAAAGCACCUUGCUUAGAAAAUUUUAAAUAUUUAUGUCUGCAACAACUGUCUCAAAAUAAUAAACUGUGCAAUUCUUGUCAUUAAAAAAAAAUCUGAACUCUCCCUACUGUGACUUGUUAGUUUCUCUGUAUUUUCUGCCAGUGUAAAUGUGAAAAGCUUUGCUUGCAUUACGUUUUAGAAAUGCAUUUUGCACACUCGAAUUUUGCUGAAGCUCCAUGAAAAGGUUAGCUCUAAGUAGAUGAAUAAAGCUAUGCACAUGUUUUGAAAGUUUUAAUUUGUGUGUCAUUACCAAAAGUGACUUAUCUGUCCUUAUCUUGCUGUUAGCUUUACCAUCUUUGGAAACAUGACUCAAAGUCACAGUUCUGAGAUAGCUCAUCACUGGAACUAGAAGAGAGCUUAACUGGCACCUAUUUUAAUAAAGUUCAGUUUAAAUGAGAACUUGACUUGUAUCUAUUUAAGGGCUUUUCUUGAAACAGGGCUGUUUGAUCAGCUUUACAAACCAUUGGAUGCUCUUCCUCAGUGAAAUUUGUGUUUGAUGAAAUAGGAAAUAGUUUGAACUGAAACGAAGGAAGGACCUUUGCCACACAGAACUCUGAAUUUUGUCUUAAUCCUAGGAUAGCAUUUUUAUCUUUAUUGCUUUAUCAUAAACUUAGCAUACUGAAUGAUUGCUUUGAGGUUAAAAUCAUUUAUUUAAAAAUCAAAGCACAGGUUUUGAAGAUAGUGUGUACCUUUAUAAAAACUACCCAUGCUGACUAGAACAAGUUUGGACAUUGGGCACAUUUGCUUCAAUUGCUGCAGCCUGCAUGUACUAAACCGCUUUAUUUCACAUGUAUGUGUAACUUGAUUGUGUAGAUGUACUGGCAGGUUUUGCCAAUUUUUUUAAAGAUUUUUUAAGCUAUCUUUUCAUGACCUUUGUAGGAUAAUUUUUAAGUAGAAGAUACUACUCAUGACAUUUCCCCAUGCUCCUACAUAUAAUAAAUUUUCCAUUUUAUACUUUUCGUAUGUAUAGAAAAGGGUUGCUUCUCUGUCAUCAAGUGUGCUCCUGAUGUAUAUUGUUGACUUUGAAAACACAGCAAAGCUCUUUCUGUAUCUCUGUUGAUAGUGGCAGUUAAAAACUCAGUCUGCUAGUCAAGACUUGAAAGAUGGUCCAUUACCCAUUUUAAGCAGGAGUGUAGCAAGCAUCAUCUUAGCGUUUGACUGUGCUUGAACAUCUGUCAGUAGUUCACUUACAUUCAGUCUUAGAACAUAACAUGUUGGAGGAGCAAAGUAAUUUCUGUGUCUUGUGCACAUAGGGAUUUAGUCAAGUUACCUCUUAAUUUAGGGGGAAGGAUAAUUAGUGGACUACAGUUAUGUUAGAGGAUGUUUUCCCUUCCCUUUCCAAAAAGUGUAAAUGUUUGUUUUGCCCAGUUUAAAAAAAAAAAAAAAUAGGUCUUUUUUAGAUGUAAGAACAAUGGCCAGGAAUUUACCCUUUUGUUCAAUGCUUAGGUCUUUGCUAUAGCUUUUUCUGAUGUCAUGGAUUCUGAGGAAGUGUCAGUUACAUGAUGAUCUUCCUUAAUUGAUGUCUUCAUGUUCAGUGUUUUAAAAAUAUAAAUUAAAACAGUACCCAGAUUUAAUUAUUUUAUCAGGAAAAAAAAACCUUGAGAAAUUUGUAGCUCAAAUUAAGAAACAAUAAGUGUACAUUGUUGAAUAAAAAGUUUUAAAGUU